rnacentral:lncRNA from 1 species
CUUCCUUAGUCAAGUAUCCAAUGUAUUUUCAAAUAAGACAAUAUAUAUUAUGAAAAUAUGGCAAUAUUUCUAUAGGACUUCUAAUAUAUAUUGACUUUGCUAGAUAUGUCUUAAUUUAUAAGACAAAUUAUUUAUAUGCACACCAAAUAAUUAACUUAUUCCACAAGCUAUUAACAUAUGUAAUAUGUUGUAUUAUAUGAAAUCUUAUUUGAGAAUGCACUAAACACCUUACUAUAGAAGGUAGAAUAAAAAUUAUAAUAAUAAAAUCUUAGCUCUAUUAGAAUAUUAAAUAAACUCUAGUUGAAACCCUAAUGGACUUCAAUCAUAUCUUAGGCCAAAUCCUAAUUCUAAAUCCUAAAUAAAUCUUAAAUCUUAAAUCCUAAGAAAAUCUUAAAUCCUAAAUUCUAAAUCCUAAGUAAAUCCUAUAUCCUAAAUCCAAAGAAAAUCCUAAAUCAAAUCCUAAACUCUAAUCUAAUCUUAAAUCCCAAUCAAAACUUAACUAAAUCUUAAGUGAACUCUAAAUUCUAAAUUUUAAAUCCUAAAUCCUACUCUAACUCUAAAUCCUAAUCAAAUCUUAACCAAAUUCUAAAUCCUAACCUAACUCUAAUCCUAAACCAAAUCCUAACUAAAACCUAACCAACUCAAUUUUAUCCUAGUACAAUUUAAAACCUCGAUAUCUAUGAAUUAAACUAUUGGUCUUACUUAAAAUUUUAUAUACCUC